rnacentral:rRNA from 1 species
AGUGAACGCUGGCGGCAGGCCUAAUACAUGCAAGUCGAACGGCAGCACAGUGGAGCUUGCUCCAUGGGUGGCGAGUGGCGGACGGGUGAGGAAUACAUGGGAAUCUGCCCAGUCGUGGGGAUAACGUAUGGAAACGUACGCUAAUACCGCAUGCGCCCUUCGGAGGAAAGUCGGGGACCGCAAGGCCUGACGCGAUUGGAUGAGCCCAUGUUCGAUUAGCUAGUUGGCGGGGUAACGGCCCACCAAGGCGACGAUCGAUAGCUGGUCUGAGAGGAUGAUCAGCCACACUGGAACUGAGACACGGUCCAGACUCCUACGGGAGGCAGCAGUAGGGAACAUUGGACAAAUGGGGCGAACCCUGAU